rnacentral:rRNA from 1 species
GGGGAAUAUUGCACAAUGGGCGCAAGCCUGAUGCAGCAACGCCGCGUGAGGGACGACGGCCUUCGGGUUGUAAACCUCUUUUAGCAGGGAAGAAGCGAAAGUGACGGUACCUGCAGAAAAAGCACCGGCUAACUACGUGCCAGCAGCCGCGGUAAUACGUAGGGUGCAAGCGUUAUCCGGAAUUAUUGGGCGUAAAGAGCUCGUAGGCGGUUUGUCGCGUCUGCUGUGAAAUCCCGAGGCUCAACCUCGGGCCUGCAGUGGGUACGGGCAGACUAGAGUGCGGGAGGGGAGAUUGGAAUUCCUUGUGUAGCGGUGGAAUGCGCAGAUAUUAGGAGGAACACCGAUGGCGAAGGCAGAUCUCUGGGCCGUAACUGACGCUGAGGAGCGAAAGGGUGGGGAGCAAACA